UGAGGUUAAGCGACUAAGCGUACACGGUGGAUGCCUAGGCAGUCAGAGGCGAUGAAGGACGUGCUAAUCUGCGAAAAGCGCCGGUGAGCUGAUAUGAAGCCCUAUCAGCCGGCGAUGUCCGAAUGGGGAAACCCAGUGCAAUCCGUUGCACUAUCAUUCACUGAAUCCAUAGGUGAAUGAGGCGAACCGGGGGAACUGAAACAUCUCAGUACCCCGAGGAAAAGAAAUCAACCGAGAUUCCCCCAGUAGCGGCGAGCGAACGGGGAGCAGCCCAGAGCCAUCAACAAUAUCAGCGCCAGGAGAACGGUCUGGAAAGGCCGGCAGUAAAGGGUGACAGCCCCGUAUCCGAAGGCGCCGGUAUUGCGAGCUCGAAGAGUAGGGCGGGACACGUGGUAUCCUGUCUGAAGAUGGGGGGACCAUCCUCCAAGGCUAAAUACUCCUGACUGACCGAUAGUGAACCAGUACCGUGAGGGAAAGGCGAAAAGAACCCCGGCGAGGGGAGUGAAAGAGAACCUGAAACCGUGUACGUACAAGCAGUGGGAGCCCCACCACUAAGCCAGUUUUGGCCAGUGGUGAACUCCGCAACGCAUCUUUUGUCUGAUGCCGGUUGGCGAAGCGAAGCGCCGCCCAACCGACAAAAUCAGGCCGAGGGGGCUUAGUGGUGGGGUGACUGCGUACCUUUUGUAUAAUGGGUCAGCGACUUAUAUUCUGUAGCAAGGUUAACCGCAUAGGGGAGCCGCAGGGAAACCGAGUCUUAACAGGGCGCGAAGUUGCAGGGUAUAGACCCGAAACCCGGUGAUCUAGCCAUGGGCAGGUUGAAGGUUGGGUAACACUAACUGGAGGACCGAACCGACUAAUGUUGAAAAAUUAGCGGAUGACUUGUGGCUGGGGGUGAAAGGCCAAUCAAACCGGGAGAUAGCUGGUUCUCCCCGAAAGCUAUUUAGGUAGCGCCUCGUGAAUUCAUCUCCGGGGGUAGAGCACUGUUUCGGCUAGGGGGUCAUCCCGACUUACCAACCCGAUGCAAACUGCGAAUACCGGAGAAUGUUAUCACGGGAGACACACGGCGGGUGCUAACGUCCGUCGUGGAGAGGGAAACAACCCAGACCGCCAGCUAAGGUCCCCAAGUCAUGGUUAAGUGGGAAACGAAGUGGGAAGGCUCAGACAGCCAGGAUGUUGGCUUAGAAGCAGCCAUCAUUUAAAGAAAGCGUAAUAGCUCACUGGUCGAGUCGGCCUGCGCGGAAGAUGUAACGGGGCUAAACCAUGCACCGAAGCUGCGGCAGCGAUAUGAAUAUAUUGUUGGGUAGGGGAGCGUUCUGUAAGCCGGUGAAGGCGGGUCGUGAGGCCUGCUGGAGGUAUCAGAAGUGCGAAUGCUGACAUAAGUAACGAUAAAGCGGGUGAAAAACCCGCUCGCCGGAAGACCAAGGGUUCCUGUCCAACGUUAAUCGGGGCAGGGUGAGUCGACCCCUAAGGCGAGGCCGAAAGGCGUAGUCGAUGGGAAACAGGUUAAUAGUCCUGUACUCGGUGUUACUGCGAAGGGGGGACGGAGAAGGCUAGGCCGGCCGGGCGACGGUUUGUCCCGGUUGAAGCGUGUAGGUGGGGUGACCUGGCAAAUCCGGUCAUCCAUAACACUGAGGCGUGAUAACGAGCCACUACGGUGGUGAAGUGGUUGAUGCCCUGCUUCCAGGAAAAGCCUCUAAGCAUCAGGUAACAUUGAAUCGUACCCCAAACCGACACAGGUGGUCAGGUAGAGAAUACUCAGGCGCUUGAGAGAACUCGGGUGAAGGAACUAGGCAAAAUGGUGCCGUAACUUCGGGAGAAGGCACGCUGGCAUGAGGUGAAGGGCCGUGCGCCCGGAGCUGAAGCCAGUCGCAGAGACCAGCUGGCUGCAACUGUUUAAUAAAAACACAGCACUGUGCCAACACGAAAGUGGACGUAUACGGUGUGACGCCUGCCCGGUGCUGGAAGGUUAAUUGAUGGGGUUAGCGGCAACGCGACGCUCCUGAUCGAAGCCCCAGUAAACGGCGGCCGUAACUAUAACGGUCCUAAGGUAGCGAAAUUCCUUGUCGGGUAAGUUCCGACCUGCACGAAUGGCGUAAUGAUGGCCAGGCUGUCUCCACCCGAGACUCAGUGAAAUUGAACUCGCUGUGAAGAUGCAGUGUACCCGCGGCAAGACGGAAAGACCCCGUGAACCUUUACUAUAGCUUGACACUGAACAUGGAGCCUUGAUGUGUAGGAUAGGUGGGAGGCUUUGAAGUGUGGACGCCAGUCUGCAUGGAGCCAUCCUUGAAAUACCACCCUUGAAUGUUUGAUGUUCUAACGUGGACCCGUUAUCCGGGUUGCGGACAGUGUCUGGUGGGUAGUUUGACUGGGGCGGUCUCCUCCCAAAGCGUAACGGAGGAGCACGAAGGUUGGCUAAUCACGGUCGGACAUCGUGAGGUUAGUGCAAAGGCAUAAGCCAGCUUGACUGCGAGCGUGACGGCGCGAGCAGGUACGAAAGUAGGUCUUAGUGAUCCGGUGGUUCUGUAUGGAAGGGCCAUCGCUCAACGGAUAAAAGGUACUCCGGGGAUAACAGGCUGAUACCGCCCAAGAGUUCAUAUCGACGGCGGUGUUUGGCACCUCGAUGUCGGCUCAUCACAUCCUGGGGCUGAAGUAGGUCCCAAGGGUACGGCUGUUCGCCGUUUAAAGUGGUACGCGAGCUGGGUUUAGAACGUCGUGAGACAGUUCGGUCCCUAUCUGCCGUGGGCGCUGGAAGAUUGAAAGGGGCUGCUCCUAGUACGAGAGGACCGGAGUGGACGCACCGCUGGUGUUCGGGUUGUCAUGCCAAUGGCAUUGCCCGGUAGCUACGUGCGGCAGAGAUAACCGCUGAAAGCAUCUAAGCGGGAAACUUGCCUUAAGAUGAGUCUUCCCUUGUCCCUGAGAGGACACAUAAGGAACGUUCGAGACGAGGACGUGGAUAGGCCGGGUGUGUAAGCGUAGCGAUACGUUGAGCUAACCGGUACUAAUGCUCCGAGAGGCUUAACCUG
rnacentral:rRNA from 1 species